UUUGCUACUGAAAGUAAAUAGGGCAUAGUUUCAAUUCACAUAUAAACCAAAUCGAAUCAUUAAAUAUUUCAAAUGGCUGGUAACUUUUGGCAAAGUUCUCACCAUCAGCAGUGGAUUUUGGAUAAGCAAGAUCUUAUUCGUGAAAGACAACAUGAUCUUAAAUCACUAACCGAAGAAGAGUAUCAGAAAGUUUUUAUGUUUUUUGCCAAUGUUAUACAAGUUCUAGGAGAGCAACUUAAGUUACGACAGCAAGUUAUUGCCACUGCUACCGUUUAUUUCAAACGUUUCUACGCUAGGAACUCUUUAAAGUGUAUUGAUCCACUACUUUUAGCCCCUACUUGUAUUCUUCUUGCUUCGAAAGUAGAGGAAUUUGGUGUUAUUUCCAAUUCUCGAUUGAUCACUACAUGCCAGACAGUGAUUAAAAACAAAUUUAGCUACGCUUAUCAACAAGAAUUUCCCUAUAGAACAAACCACAUACUAGAAUGUGAAUUUUAUCUUUUGGAAAAUUUAGACUGCUGCUUAAUAGUUUAUCAACCGUAUAGGCCUUUGUUACAACUGAUUCAAGAUAUCGGACAGGAAGAGCAGCUUCUCACGCUAACAUGGCGUUUAAUAAACGAUUCCCUGAGAACCGAUGUAAGCUUACUGUAUCCUCCGUACCAGAUAGCUUUAGGUUGCCUGCAAAUUGCGUGUGUUAUUCUGCAGAAGGAAUUGAAAGCAUGGUUUGCGGAGUUAAACGUCGAUUUGGAAAAAGUUCAGGAAAUCGCUAGAUCAAUUCUCAAUUUGUUUGAGUUAUGGAAAAAUUAUGAUGAAAAAGAGAUUCAAGGUUUACUAGAAAAGAUGCCAAAGCCAAAACCAGCUCCUCAACGGUGAUCGAGUGAAACAUAUCUUGGAACAAAAUUUGUUCACUUUAGUGUUUAUAAAAACUGCUUUAAUUUUACUAUCAAAGGAAUGCGUUAUUGCGGGGUUUCCACCUAUUAAGGCUGUGAACCAUUUCGCGAAAUUUUUAACUUUUUGGUUAAAAUUUGAUCUAGUUCAAUCUAGGACAGGACACAGGACGUGCCAACUGGCUUCUUAUUCUUCUUCUUAUUA